rnacentral:rRNA from 1 species
GAGAGUUAAACAGUACGUGAAAUUGUUGAAAGGGAAACGAUUGAAGCCAGUCGUACCUUCGGGUAAUCAGCCUUUCGGGUGUGAUUCUGUGGAGUGUGAGGAGCUUAAACACCUUCAUGUUUUGCAUAUUCGUACUCUUGGGUGUACUUGCCCGUGUGGUUGGUUAACAUCAAUUUUGGUGGUCAUAAAAUGACUGGAGGAAUGUAGCUUCGAUCUUGUAUUGAAGUGUUAUAGCCUUCGGUAGAUGUGAUGAUCGAGAUUGAGGAUUGCAACGGAUACCCUUCGGGGCUACCUGUCUGGUCUCUGAUCGUUGCUCUGGUGCCGAAAGCUUGCUUACGGUUAUCAAAGUCGAUGGUCAAUAGGUUAGAACGGGUUAAAUUCGUUAAGGAUGUUGACGUAAUGGCUUUAAACGA